rnacentral:rRNA from 1 species
AGCUCCAAUAGCGUAUAUUAAAGUUGCUGCAGUUAAAAAGCUCGUAGUUGCAUUUCCGAGGCAAGGGAUUAGUCCGACCUUUGGUGGGUAUUUAAUCCUCUUGCCUCGUCCUUGAGUGGUGCUUCUUGGUAUUAAGUUAUCGAGGAGAUAGCCGCUCAUCGUUUACUGUGAGAAAAUUAGAGUGUUCAAAGCAGGCUUAUGCCGUUGAAUAUAUUAGCAUGGAAUAAUAAGAUAGGACCUCGGUACUAUUUUGUUGGUUUGAGAACCAAGGUAAUGAUGAAUAGGGACAGUUGGGGGUAUUCGUAUUCAGUUGUCAGAGGUGAAAUUCUUAGAUUUACGGAAGACGAACUACUGCGAAAGCAUUUUCCAAGGAUGUUUGCA